rnacentral:tRNA from 1 species
ACCAAUAAACUAUUCUAGAGAAAGAGGACUUGAACCCCAUCUAAGAGACCAAAACUCUUCGUAUAUCCUAUUAUACUUUACCCU